UACGGGGGGGGCAAGCGUUGUUCGGAAUUACUGGGCGUAAAGGGCUCGUAGGUGGCCAACUAAGUCAGACGUGAAAUCCCUCAGCUUAACUGGGGAACUGCGUCUGAUACUGGAUGGCUUGAGUUUGGGAGAGGGACGCGGAGUUCCAGGUGUAGCGGUGAAAUGCGUAGAUAUCUGGAGGAACACCGGUGGCGAAGGCGGCGUCCUGGACCAACACUGACACUGAUGAGCGAAAGCCAGGGGAGCAAACGGG
rnacentral:rRNA from 1 species